AUGCCCCUAUCCUCCUUGCACAUAGAUCCACAUCACUUACUUGCAAGGAUAUAUGGCCACAAAUGCAUAUUCAAAUUAAGAACGAUCAAAAUGCAUAUUAUUUAUCUUAUAUAUAUUUCAUACAGGGAAAAUUCAACCUUUGAAGAAAAUGAGGUGAAAGAGUUAACUUCUGGAAUGAAAGUCAAAGCCAAUUACCUUUUGGGGCAAUGUAUUAUUAAAGUAUAUCCAUACAACUUGCGAUGUGAUCAUGAGAGAACAAGGUUGAAUAAUGAUUUUUUUUAUCAAGUAAAGAAGGUGAGAACAGUGCUCAAAACUCAAGUGUGA
rnacentral:rRNA from 1 species